rnacentral:tRNA from 1 species
UGACCGAUGGUGUAAUGGUAGCACAAAGGAUUUUGGUUCCUUUUGUCCAGGUUCGAAUCCUGGUCGGUCAACCA